AUUGAACGCUGGCGGCAGGCCUAACACAUGCAAGUCGAACGGUAACAGGGAUCAGCUUGCUGAUUCGCUGACGAGUGGCGGACGGGUGAGUAAUGUCUGGGAAACUGCCUGAUGGAGGGGGAUAACUACUGGAAACGGUAGCUAAUACCGCAUAACGUCGCAAGACCAAAGAGGGGGACCUUCGGGCCUCUUGCCAUCGGAUGUGCCCAGAUGGGAUUAGCUAGUAGGUGGGGUAACGGCUCACCUAGGCGACGAUCCCUAGCUGGUCUGAGAGGAUGACCAGCCACACUGGAACUGAGACACGGUCCAGACUCCUACGGGAGGCAGCAGUGGGGAAUAUUGCACAAUGGGCGCAAGCCUGAUGCAGCCAUGCCGCGUGUAUGAAGAAGGCCUUCGGGUUGUAAAGUACUUUCAGCGGGGAGGAAGGGAGUAAAGUUAAUACCUUUGCUCAUUGACGUUGCCCGCAGAAGAAGCACCGGCUAACUCCGUG
rnacentral:rRNA from 1 species